CGGGAGGCAGCAGUGGGGAAUUUUGGACAAUGGGCGCAAGCCUGAUCCAGCAAUGCCGCGUGCAGGAAGAAGGCCUUCGGGUUGUAAACUGCUUUUGUACGGAACGAAACGGUCCUGGUUAAUACCCGGGGCUAAUGACGGUACCGUAAGAAUAAGCACCGGCUAACUACGUGCCAGCAGCCGCGGUAAUACGUAGGGUGCAAGCGUUAAUCGGAAUUACUGGGCGUAAAGCGUGCGCAGGCGGUUUUGUAAGACAGGCGUGAAAUCCCCGGGCUCAACCUGGGAAUUGCGCUUGUGACUGCAAAGCUGGAGUGCGGCAGAGGGGGAUGGAAUUCCGCGUGUAGCAGUGAAAUGCGUAGAUAUGCGGAGGAACACCGAUGGCGAAGGCAAUCCCCUGGGCCUGCACUGACGCUCAUGCACGAAAGCGUGGGGAGCAAACAGGAUUAGAUACCCUGGUAGUCCACGCCCUAAACGAUGUCAACUGGUUGUUGGGUCUCUUC
rnacentral:rRNA from 1 species